rnacentral:rRNA from 1 species
AGGUGCUGCAUGGCUGUCGUCAGCUCGUGUCGUGAGAUGUUGGGUUAAGUCCCGCAACGAGCGCAACCCUUGCCUUUAGUUGCCAUCAUUUAGUUGGGCACUCUAGAGGGACUGCCGGCGUUAAGCCGGAGGAAGGCGGGGAUGACGUCAAGUCCUCAUGGCCCUCAUGCCCAGGGCUACACACGUGCUACAAUGGCCGGUACAAAGGGUUGCGAACCCGCGAGGGGAAGCUAAUCUCAUAAAGCCGGCCUCAGUUCGGAUUGGAGUCUGCAACUCGACUCCAUGAAGUUGGAAUCGCUAGUAAUCGCGGAUCAGCACGCCGCGGUGAAUACGUUCCCGGGCCUUGUACACACCGCCCGUCACA